UGUGGUGUGUUGGGGUUGUGUUGACACAGUAGGUAGGUGGUGUGUUGGGGUUGUGUUGACACAGUAGGUAUGUGGUGUGUUGGGGUUGUAAUUGACACAGUAGGUAUGUGGUGUGUUGGGGUUGUGUUGACACAGUAGGUAUGUGGUGUGUUGGGGUUGUGUUGACACAGUAGGUAAGUGGUGUGUUGGGGUUGUAAUUGACACAGUAGGUAGGUGGUGUGUUGGGGUUGUAAUUGACACAGUAGGUAGGUGGUGUGUUGGGGUUGUGUUGACACAGUA
rnacentral:lncRNA from 13 species